rnacentral:rRNA from 1 species
GAUGAACGCUGGCGGCGUGCCUAAUACAUGCAAGUCGAGCGAACAGACGAGGAGCUUUCUCCUCUGACGUUAGCGGCGGACGGGUGAGUAACACGUGGAUAACCUACCUAUAAGACUGGGAUAACUUCGGGAAACCGGAUCUAAUACCGGAUAAUAUAUUGAACCGCAUGGUUCAAUAGUGAAAGACGGUUUUGCUGUCACUUAUAGAUGGAUCCGCGCCGCAUUAGCUAGUUGGUAAGGUAACGGCUUACCAAGGCGACGAUGCGUAGCCGACCUGAGAGGGUGAUCGGCCACACUGGAACUGAGACACGGUCCAGACUCCUACGGGAGGCAGCAGUAGGGAAUCUUCCACAAUGGGCGAAAGCCUGACGGAGCAACGCCGCGUGAGUGAUGAAGGUCUUCGGAUCGUAAAACUCUGUUAUUAGGGAAGAAAAAAUGUGUAAGUAACUAUGCACGUCUUGACGGUACCUAAUCAGAAAGCCACGGCUAACUACGUG